CUGUCGUCACUCUGGACCACUGAUAUAUAUAUACACUGGAUUGGAUUAAGCGUGGUGCCGUCACGCCAAUUGAACGUAACAAUUAUUGAGGUAACAAUGAGUACCUGCGUUUUUUGCAAAACAAAGCAAUCAAAAUAUAGUGGGCGAUCAUUUCACAAAUUUCCCGUGAAAGAUGUGUUGCGCCUUCAGCAGUGGUUAAAAGAAAUGAAGAGGAAGGACUGGAAGCCAAACCGAAAUAGCACAUUGUGUUCAGCUCAUUUUGCAAAUGACUGCUUUGAUAGGACAGGAUUCCUAAUUACAUUGAAAAAGAAAAGUGUACCAACUAUAUUUGACAACCCAAAAUCAGAGUGUUCAUCUUGUCACCGAUUAAGGGAAUAUGGACAUGGCUAUUCAUUCUUCAAGUUCCCAUUGGAUGAACCUGAUAUUAUGAAGCAGUGGAUCGCAAAUAUAAACAUUGGACCCUGGUCUCCAUCAAGUGAUAGCUUUCUGUGUUCCGACCACUUUGAACCCUCUUGCUUUCAGAAGAAAAGUAAAAAUUAUAUAACUUUACCAAAAGGCAGUAUCCCAACGUUAUUUGCAGACCGAAUUUCAGGAUGAAUCCGAUCGGCCCACCAUAGUGAAUUUAACCAAAUUACAUGAUCACCUACACAUUUGUACCUGAUUUGCAUGCUCAGCUCCACUUUGAUGAUCAAUGGAUGGUAAAUGGAUUCCCUAAUGGUUGAAUUAGUGUUAUACAAAUUUUUGAAUAAUCCGUAUGGAAUUCAGCCCACCAUAGGAUGAAGGAUAAUGGACGGAAACUUCUUAGAAUUGAGGACUUCUUUUGAACAUAAAGAAAAAUCACGCUUAAAUACAAGUUUUUCGUCAUAUUAUUUAAUGAUCUUUUA
rnacentral:misc_RNA from 1 species